rnacentral:rRNA from 1 species
AGCAAUACCACAGUGGCGCACGGGUGCGUAACGCGUAGGCAAUCUGCCUACUCCUGGGGGAUAGCCCGCCGAAAGGUGGAUUAAUACCGCAUGACACCAUAACACGGCAUCGUGUAGUGGUUAAAGAAUUUCGGGAGUAGAUGAGCCUGCGUGCCAUUAGCUAGUUGGUGGGGUAACGGCUCACCAAGGCGACGAUGGCUAGGGGAGCUGAGAGGCCGAUCCCCCACACUGGCACUGAGAUACGGGCCAGACUCCUACGGGAGGCAGCAGUAGGGAAUAUUGGGCAAUGGGCGCGAGCCUGACCCAGCCAUGCCGCGUGACGGAUGAAGGCCUUCUGGGUUGUAAACGUCUUUUGACCGGGAAGAAAAAACUCUUGCGAGAGGAAUCGACGGUACCGGUUGAAUAAGCACCGGCUAACUCCGUGCCAGCAGCCGCGGUAAUACGGAGGGUGUGAGCGUUGUCCGGAUUUAUUGGGUUUAAAGGGUGCGUAGGUGGCCCUGCAAGUCCGUGGUGAAAGCCUGCUGCUCAACAGCAGAACUGCCAUGGAUACUACAGGGCUUGAGUCCAGACGAGGUUGGCGGAAUGGAUGGUGUAGCGGUGAAAUGCAUAGAUACCAUCCAGAACCCCGAUUGCGUAGGCAGCUGACUAGGCUGGUACUGACACUGAGGCACGAAAGCGUGGGGAGCGAACAGGAUUAGAUACCCUGGUAGUCCACGCCGUAAACGAUGGAUACUCGCUGUGGGCGAUACACAGUCCGCGGCUUAGCG